CCUACGGGCGGCAGCAGUAGGGAAUCUUCCACAAUGGGCGAAAGCCUGAUGGAGCAACGCCGCGUGGGUGAAGAAGGUCUUCGGAUCGUAAAACCCUGUUGUUAGAGAAGAAAGUGCGUGAGAGUAACUGUUCACGUUUCGACGGUAUCUAACCAGAAAGCCACGGCUAACUACGUGCCAGCCGCCGCGGUAAUACGUAGGUGGCAAACGUUGUCCGGAUUUAUUGGGAGUAAAGGGAGCGCAGGCGGUCUGUUAAGUCUGAUGUGAACGCCUUCGGCUUAACCGGGGUAGUGCAUAGAAUACUGGGAGACUUGAGUGCAGAAGAGGAGAGUGGAAUUCAAGGUGUAGCGGUGAAAUGCGUAGAUAUAUGGAAGAACACCAGUGGCGAAGGCGGCUCUCUGGUCUGUAACUGACGCUGAGGUUCGAAAGCGUGGGUAGCAAACAGGAUUAGAUACCCCAGUAGUC
rnacentral:rRNA from 1 species